GCUAUCCUCCUUUAGUACAUUGUGGGUGUACGGACAUGCACACUGGGUUUCUCUGCCUUAUCAGGUUAUGCAACUCUCUGCCCUAACAGAGAUCCGAAUAUAUGAUUUUGGAAUCGAGGCUCUUCUUCAUGGACUUGACAACCUUACUUCUCUAGAAACAUUAGUGUUAGUGAACAUCAAACGGCUACAACAUCUGGACUUCUUAGAUGCACCCAAAUUAUCGGAUAUGCGUAUCUUUGAUUGUCCAUUAUUAGAAGCUGUGUCGGAUCGGCUUGUCAACCUUGUUUCUUUGGAAUCAUUAAUUUUAACAGACUGCGAAAAACUACAGCAUCUGCCACCCGGAGCUGCCAUGCAACGCCUCACCAAAGUACAGUAUCUGCGAAUUGAUGGCUGCCCACAGUUAGAAGAAAGUUGCACCAGUCGGAGUGGCCCAAACGGCCAGUGGUCCAACAUUUACCAUAUUCCAGAAAUUGAAGUAGGUGGGAGGACAAUUCAGAACUUACGUAACUAGAUCAAAUGUCAUGCUAGAACAUUGUUGUAGCAUAAAAAAAAAAAAAAGGGCAGUCUAGUGCACUAAGCUCCCGCUAUGCACGGGGUCCGGGGAAGGGCCGGACCACAAGAUUUAUUGUACGCAGUCUUAACCUGCAUUUCUACAAGAUAAUGUUUCCACAGCUCGAACAUGUGACUUGCUAGUCACAUGACAUCAACUUUACCAGUUACGUCAAGACUCCCCUCCUAGAACGUUGGUGUAGCAUAUCAAGUGAAAAUCCUUGGGCGGCAAUUACGUUAGGGUUGGUUAUGUUCCACAGAGGAACCGCCACAUUUAUUUUGUAUACAAGCUACUGUAGUGGUCUCUCCUGAGCAAACUUGGAGUCUCUGGUGGGUUGACUAAUUUGAAGAGCACUCUGGUCUGAGUUUUGUUCAAGGACAGAAUCUGCUGUAGAUCUCAUUACUCAAAUGGUUACUGAACUAUCCCAAAUUAUCUUCUAAAGUUACUU